AGACCUCUAAUCGGAAAAGACAACCCGCCGAGUUUAAGCAUAUCAAUAA
rnacentral:rRNA from 1 species